UUUAACCUAAUUUUUUCUCUUCUCUUCCUGAAUCGCCGCCGAAGAAGAACAACACCAAUCUGCAUCACCAUUCACUAAACCUACCUCACUCUAAAACUAUUAUCAUUCAUUCAACAACACCUCUCUCCUCUCCUUUUUCUCUUCUCUGUUUGUUCGGAUCCAACUCGAGGAAAGAAACAAAUUAGGGGUUAGGGUUUGCACUUUUCAGAAAAUUUUCAAAAUCGAAUUUCCAUCGCAAUGGCUUCCACAAAGAAAAUCACUCUCAAGAGUUCUGAUGCGACCUCAUCGCCUUCAUCUCAGAAUGGAGGAUAUAUUGGCGAGGGCGAAGUACGCGGUGGUGGAGAAUGAGGAUUACGGUAGCCUCAUGUGUGAGCAAUGUGGCACCGGGGAGCAGCCGGAGGAGCUGCUGUUGUGCGACAAAUGUGACAAAGGAUUCCAUAUGAAAUGUGUGAGGCCGAUUGUUGUGAGGAUUCCAAUUGGUUCUUAGAUUUGCCCUAAGUGUUCAGGGGUGAAGAAAGUGAAAAAGUUCACGCAAAGGAGAAUACUUGAUUUCUUCGGGCUUCCAAGGAAUUUGCCUGAUUUCAGAAGGAAUAAUUCUUCUUCUUGGGGGUAAU